rnacentral:rRNA from 1 species
AUGCUGAUGUUCGUGCCGGCGCCGGAGACCGUGACCACAACUCGGGGGCAAGGUGCUGGUGUCAGCGACAUCGCCCGUGUUGGCCCCUUGAGUUUUGGACCUGCCGCGCUCUGGUUCUGGAAGCUGCCAUUCCCAUCGAGCCCCUCCAGCAGCGUUCAGUUUGGAUCUGGGUGCUUCUGGCUGUUCCUGGAGUUGAGGUUCAAGUUAACCAUGGAGAGAAGCCAAGAAGGACGAGAUUGUCAAGUCAGCGAUCGAGGUGCAGACAGACGUGAGAGACAUCUGGAUAGAUUCUUCCUUACUAGAGCCAUACGACCAAAAAAGAUGAUUGGAAAGGCUCUUUCCAAGCAUAAGAUAUAUUAA